rnacentral:lncRNA from 1 species
UUAGGCCCAGAAGGUGAAUUUGUCCGGGGAAUAUCCGGUGAACGCGGCCUGCUGUCGACGGGUCGACCUGUUUUUAUGUUGUUACAGGGUGGUAUAGCUUCACCAGCGGCCCCCUUUCCCGAGGCAGUUCCCUGCUCUCCCCUGCUAGAGGGGUACCCUUAUCCGUUCACCCCAUCCGACUUUAGAAUGUGUUCGUUGGUUUCAGCAACUCACCACCAGCAUCCAACCAAAUUUAGCGGAUCAACGGCGCCUCAACUUAGUUCCUGGUCAGCUCGCAAGUUGAUGUUAUCACGUCCUACACCGUCCAUAAGAUGGGGGGGCCACCUCCCAUUUCAACACUUCUCAAACACCCGAGAAGUCGGCAGGCGGAUUUGAACCCGGACACUCCGGGAGCAGAAGUCAGGCCUUAACCUCUGCCAGCCGACCUGUUGUUGUUUUGCUUCCUGGUGGCGGAAGAAAGAGCGUAUGUGUGUGUCACGCGGGUCGUGUCGGACUGGUGGUCCAAGUAUCGCUCCCUGGCACGUCUCCCCCCCCACACACCUGCGCCCUCUCUGGCCCCCAGUACUCGCUAGUCUUGAAGAAGGACCCCGCCACAGGGACGUUCACGGCUAAAGCACAUCUUCCGGUGGGUGGCUGGGGAGACGUCCGGAAAAGGGGGAGGGGAGGGGGGGAUCGGGGGUUGGGGUAGGGGCGGCUCUCCGGCCUGAGUGAGAGUGUCCGAUGAGGAAGGCGGGAAGCGACGUGGAAGGGACUUGGGAGGCGGGCCAUCGCGGGCAGCUCACCUGCCGUACUGCCUCUCUGUUGCCAGUUCUUCGGAGGCCACCGGCCAGGUCGUCACCGCAAGCAGCAGCAGCAGCAGCAGCAUGACAAGGAGGGAACGGGUUGGACCGGGUCGGCGAGGAUAGGCGUCGAGUAGGCAGUGGACACAGCAAGCAAGCUGGGCGAUGCAGAUCUCAUCCAACCUGCAGCGUCCCUGGUCACCAGAACCAUCCCUGACUGAACCGCACCUGGCGUCCCUGACACUUCAAGUCUGGUCACCAGAACCAUCCCUGACUGCUGCCCCCGCGGCCCCUAUCCGGCUCCUCCUCUCCCCCCCGCCCGGGGGCGAUCCGUCUACCUUUGGUAUCUGCUUCACUCGCCAGUGGUUCGUCUUAACCCCCCCUCGGGGCGAGCUGUGGUGCAGCUCCUCCCCGGCGCGUUGGCCGUGUGGCCCUCACUGCCCCCUGCCGCGGCGUGUGCCGUACAUUGUGCACCUCUUCCUAAUCACAUCUCUUAACUCGCGCCUCGGCCACCACCACCCCGUCCAGUGCAUUAACCCUUCACCCCUGCCCCACAUCACGCCCACGUCACCCUCCCCCCCCGGCUCCCCCCCCUCUGCAGCCCGGCCAGUACUCGUACUCCUUCCUGGUGGAUGGCACCCUCUCCACAGACCCCGCUCAGGCGGUGCACCCCAAUGAGGAGUACGGCGAAGUACACCGGGUACGCGGGCUCACAUACAGACAUACAUCUGCGCAGUUGCGUCUAAGAGGAUGUGUGUUGAGUUUGCGUAAGUAUGUGUGAAUACUGUAUACGUGCCCGUUCGUACAGCUAUGAGUGUCGCCGUUGGGCCAGAGCGCAGUUGGGCCAGAGGCAUCGAGGGGGGGGGUAAGGGCCGGCGGAGGGAGGGGGGUCGCGCAGUGCAUUCCAAUCCAACCGCGUUCCAACCCAACCGGAUUCUCUGUCAAUCGGCCUUUUGCAGCUGCUUUCUCUGUUAGCCCGCAGUCGCCAUGAUAAGGCGCAGAUGCCUAGUUGAGGUGUGAGGGUGGCGUUGUGUCACCAUGUUUGCUGUACGGUAUAUAGCUGCGGUUGCUGCCGCUUCCACUGUCGUUGUCGCGGCUACCGCCACUGCCGCCCGUGCAGACCUGGAGCUUCGAGCCCAACUUGUUCCGGAUCUUUUACUGCACCGGCUGGGACGAGGCGGUGCUGCAGUACCGGAGGGUGGUGAGGGGGCAGCCAGUGACCCAUGUGGGCGCUGCGGGGGGGGCGGGCGCACCGGGGCGGUGGAGGGGGGGGGGAAGGGGGCCGCCGGGACAUCACUUUAAUGCUGCCGGCGCCUGGGCCGCCGUUCCGCUCAUCGACUGCAUCAUCUCACUUUCUUUUUUCCCCUCCCCCCUGCCACGACUUCACCGCUAAGGACUUGAGCAAUUUUGGACUUUGUACUUCGGCAGUUUAUUUCUGAGUUUCUUGCAUGUGAUCCCCCCUCCCGGCCAUCCUCUGCUGGGUAGAUGGAUGCCCACGUUCCUCUCCUGCUGUACUGCCACUGCAGCUGUUUCCCCCACUCCCCCCACUCCUUCCACUCGACCAACGGAUGUCGGCAAUUAUUCUUUUGCUUCCCGCAUCACACGAAUUCCUCCCCUCCCCUGCAGGAGUGGCAGCGGCUGAGUCUGGUUAACGCCCCCAGCCGCGGCAACUCGCUGGGCGUGUGGAAGAUGGCCACCAUCGUACCCACUGACCCCUCCGAGAGUCUGGAGUUCACCCUCAACAACGGGGCCGGUGGGGACAAGCUGAAGGAGGACCGACCAGGGAGCGCACCGCUGUACGUGUGCCCCUUCCCGGGCUCCUUCAAGCUGGCCAAGGGCAUGCUGAGGCCCUUCCCGAGGGGGGCGGAGUCGCGAAUCAUGCUGGUGGGUACGGCCCCCCGCCACAAACCUAUCGCCUCCGCCAGCGUGUUGCGCUUCUCACAACGGUUGGAAGUCGUUCUGGCUGGCCGUUACGUCUGGCGUGUAUGUAUGUUGUUACAGGGUGGUUAACUUCGCCAGCGGCCCCCUUUCCCGGGGCAGUCCCUGCUCUCCCCUGCUAGAGGGGCACCCUAAUCCGUCACCCCAUCCGACUUCAGAAUGUAUUCGUUGGGUUCGGCAACUCACCACCAGCAUCCAACCAAAUCUAGCGGAUCAACGGCGCAUCAACUUAGUUCCUGGUCAGCUCGCAAGUUGAUAUUAUCACGUCCUACACCGUCCAUAUGAUGGGGGGCCACCUCCCAUUUCAUCACUCCUCAAACACCCGAGGAGCCGGCAGGCGGAUUUGAACCCGGGUCGACUGGGUCGACUGGGAGCAGAAGUCAGGCCUUAACCUCUGCCAGCCGCCUGCCCGUGUAUGUACAUGCCCGCCCUGCCCGUGUAUGUACAUGUGUGAUAUGACCUAGGAUAAGGCUGUUGCAAUCGGGGGGUUUUGCGCUGAGUCUAUACUUGCUUAGGAGCCCCCGGCCGCGGCUG